rnacentral:rRNA from 1 species
AUUGAACGCUGGCGGCAGGCCUAACACAUGCAAGUCGAACGAGAGGCGGACGGGUGAGUAAUGUCUGGGACACUGCCCGAUGGAGGGGUAUAACUACUGGAAACGGUAGCUAAUACCGCAUACCAUCAGAGGUGCCCAGAUGGGAUUAGCUUGUUGGUGGGGUAACGGCUCACCAAGGCGACGAUCCCUAGCUGGUCUGAGAGGAUGACCAGCCAAACUGGAACUGAGACACGGUCCAGACUCCUACGGGAGGCAGCAGUGGGGAAUAUUGCACAAUGGGGGAAACCCUGAUCCAGCCAUCCCGCGUGUAUGAAGAAGGCCUUCGGGUUGUAAAGUACUUUCAGCGGGGAGGCGGUACCCGCAGAAGAAGCACCGGCUAACUCCGUGCCAGCAGCCGCGGUAAUAC